AGGAGCCGUGUGAGAGGAAACUUUCACGCACGGUUUUGAAGACCAGGGGGACUGGUGACAGUCUCGCUGAGUUUAAU
rfam:Microcoleus chthonoplastes PCC 7420 scf_1103659003831 genomic scaffold, whole genome shotgun sequence.